rnacentral:rRNA from 1 species
AUGGCAAUAGCACAAACGACCACCAUCUUCUUCUCUGCCAUCGCCAUCAUGCUCUUUUCCUCGUCAAUUGUUGCUCAUACUAGCGGUGACGUUGAUGGCAAGCCGAAGGCAGCCGAUUUCGUGACAGAAGCAUGCAAGAACGCUACAGCCAACUACGACAAAGAAAUCCACCUCACAGAGAAAUUCUGUGUCUCGACCCUCCGGUCGGACAAGCGGAGCGAGAAGGCAAAGGACCUUCGUGACCUGGCACUCAUCGGCGUAGACAUCCUCAAAGCACGUGUCAUCGCCGCCAAUGGUAAGGUCCAAAAAAUGUUGCACAAAGCCAAAACUGGCACGUCGAUGGCGCGCCGCCUCACUUUCUGCAAGCUGGACUAUGACGUGACGGUAAGCAUCACGAACGUCUGCACCGCCUUGCUGAAGGACUUCCGUGGCCCUAACGGCGGUGACAACGAUGGACCGGCAUCUUUUAUGCUCCCUCAAUGUGUGGAGCAGGCGAACACCCUCAACGGUUACUGCGGGCAUGAGCUUAUGGAUUUGCCGGGGCUUCAAGCGCUGUUCAACGAAAAUCUUGACAUGAGUAUGCUGGCCCACCUCAACAUGGCCUUGCUAGAACCAUAUAGAGACGACGAUUCAUAA